ACGCACGCUGGCGGCAUGCCUAACCCAUGCAAGUCGAACGAGACCUUCGGGUCUAGUGGCGCACGGGUGCGUAACGCGUGGGAACCUGCCUUUAGGUUCGGAAUAACUCAGAGAAAUUUGAGCUAAUACCGGAUGAUGUCUUCGGACCAAAGAUUUAUCGCCUUUAGAUGGGCCCGCGUUGGAUUAGCUAGUUGCUGGGGUAAAGGCCUACCAAGGCGACGAUCCAUAGCUGGUCUGAGAGGAUGAUCAGCCACACUGGGACUGAGACACGGCCCAGACUCCUACGGGAGGCAGCAGUGGGGAAUAUUGGACAAUGGGCGAAAGCCUGAUCCAGCAAUGCCGCGUGAGUGAUGAAGGCCUUAGGGUUGUAAAGCUCUUUUACCCGAGAUGAUAAUGACAGUAUCGGGAGAAUAAGCUCCGGCUAACUCCGUG
rnacentral:rRNA from 1 species